GAUGAAGAACGUAGCGAAAUGCGAUACGUAAUGUGUAUUGCAGAAUUCAGUGAAUCAUCGAGUCUUUGAACGCACAUUGCGCCCCCUGGUAUUCCGGGGGGCAUGCCUGUCCGAGCGUCAUUGCUGCCCUCAAGCACGGCUUGUGUGUUGGGCCUCCGUCCUCCUCCCGGGGGACGGGCCCGAAAGGCAGCGGCGGCACCGCGUCCGGUCCUCGAGCGUAUGGGGCUUCGUCACCCGCUCUUGUAGGCCCGGCCGGCGCUUGCCGACACAUCAAUCUUUUUUCCAGGUUGACCUCGGAUCAGGUAGGGAUACCCGCUGAACUUAAGCAUAUCAAUAAGCGGAGGA
rnacentral:misc_RNA from 1 species